rnacentral:tRNA from 1 species
GAGGGUAUAGCUCAGUGGUAGAGUGCAUGCCUAACAAGCAGGAAGUCCUGGGCUCAAUUCCCAGUACCUCCA